rnacentral:lncRNA from 1 species
GUGCUUUUGAAUACAGACUCACACUGGACUCCACGGGGUUUCUUCCACUUCAAAGAAUUUGCCUUCUUCAUUCAGAAGGAGGAGACUGUGGAGAUGACAGAAAUUCAAAGGUGCUGCAGUGCUGAGUUUGGCAUUAUCCACUUCAGAACCUUCACUUUGCUGGAUGUGGCAGCACACACUUGUAAUCUCAGACCUUGAGAGGCUGAGGACAGAUCCAUCUGAUGGUUCUAAGAAAGAAUCUGAAAGAAUCCUGAAAGACUGCAAAGGCAAAACUAGAAGAAAAAACUCUGAGUCCUUUUGCUUGUGGUAGAGGAAAGAUGAAUACGAGCAGUCUCCAGAAAGGAGGUGAGGCCAGAUGCUGUGUCCAGGAUUUGACAGCUACUGGAGGCUUCUUUUGGAAGAAGAUGAGAGAGAAUGAGCAAAGUUCCAAGAACUGCUAAACAGAACCUUUGUCUGACUGUAAUCCUGGGAAAAUUGCUUAACCAGUAUGAACCUCCAUGUCAACAUCUGGAUAUACAGGACCACCAAAAACAGAUAGUAC